ensembl:lncRNA
AGCACCACCACCGCCGCGAUUACCACCUCUCGGCCCUCUCCAGCUCGGUGUUCCCGGGGGCGUUCGCGGGCUGCAAUAACGCGGCCUUCCAAAGGUGCCAGCAAGGGCUGCGGGCUGGAUGGUGGAUGGUGGCGGGGAGCCAGCAGCUCUAACAGCUUCCACAGAUCCCCUUCAGAAGAGCAUGCCACCUGCAGCAGACACUCAGUAGCAGCCACACCACAAGAAGGAAAAGCCUUUCAUUCCCACAUAACAAGCAAAGCUGCAGAAAGCACGGGACAAACAAGACCAUCACUGCAGGCUGCAGCGAUGCACAUUUUAGAUAUCUUUUGCUGACUGUAAUAACCCAUGCCCAGAAAGAUGCCGAUUUGGAAAUGCCAUAACACAAAGUUAGCAUUUGCAAUAAAAAUAUGACAGAGUACUUUUUCCUCACUGAGAAAAAUGUCCACUUGAAGCAAGCAUUUUUAUAUGACUAUGAUAUAUUAAAA